GCAAUUGCCUUGGGUCCUGCCGCACAGAGCGGCCUGUCUUUAUCAGAGGUCCCUCUGCCAGGGGGAGGGCCCCAGAGAAAACCAGAAAGAGAGUGAGAGACUGAGGAAGAUAAAGCAUCCCAGGGCCUCCUACACCAGCGCCUGAGCAGGAAGGGGGAGGGGCCAUGACUACGAGGCCCUGGGAGGUCACUUUAGGGAGGGCUGUCCUGAAACUUGGAGCCUGGAGCAGAAAGUGAAACCCUGGUGCUCCAGACAAAGAUCUUAGUCGGGACUAGCCGGCCAAGGAUGAAGCCUCACUUCAGAAACACAGUGGAGCGAAUGUAUCGAGGCACAUUCUUCUACAACUUUAAUAAUAGACCCAUCAUUUCUCGUCGGAAUACCGUCUGGCUGUGCUACGAAGUGAAAACAAAGGGUCCCUCAAGGCCCCGUUUGGACACAAAGAUCUUUCGAGGCCAGGUGCCCAAGUCUUUCAUCAGAGCCCCAUUUCAAGUGCUCAGUAGCCCCUUUGGCCAGUGCGCCCCACCACAUGGGACAGCGCAGGUCCAGUGGCCUCCCCAGCUGACCGCAGGCAGGGAACAAGGCAGACCCUAGAGGGCCAGGCCACAGCAGGGGCUGAGGAUGCCUGGUGAAUGGAUGCCUGGGAGAAUGGAUGCCAGAAUUCACGCAUGAGGCUCUGAACAGGGCUGGGAAAACUUCCAAACGAAGGGAAGCACAUGUCUUGGUGCACCUUGUGAUGCUUCAACAGCAGGACUGAGAUGGGGACAUUUACAAUGAAUAGAAAUGUAUGGGCUCGAGUUCUGGACUCUGGGAAGUCCACUGUCAAUGCACCAGCAACUUUCCAGGGCCUGCGAGCUGCACAGUCACGUGGGGGUAAAGGUUGUUGCCAGAAGUUCAGGGGAUGCUCCAGACAGUGGCCUGGGAUGUCGAGUCACUGCUGCUCCAUGCCACGGGGACAAGAGGAAGCAGUUUAGUCUGACAUACUGCCCCCCCAGCUAGAGGGCAAGAGACAGAGGGGCUGAAGUCGCCCUUGAAUAAACACGCCAGUGGCACCCACAAAGGUGCAGUCCCCACAGCCUCAUAGCCUCUUCUAGGUGCCACCUCUUAAGGCCAUUACAAUAGCCAUUAACACUGAACGUGAGCUUUGGAGCAGACAAUCACUCAAACUAAACAGGGGGGAUGGAGGAAAGGAGCUUCAAUGGCAAGAUCCCCUGGGCUCCUGUCCUGGCCCCUCCUCUCCCUGCCCCACCCCUGCACUCCUCCUGCUCCCCCUCUCAGAGCAUCCCCUGCCCCCUGCUCCUCUCCCAGGUGUAUUUCGAGCCUCAGUACCACGCAGAAAUGUGCUUCCUCUCUUGGUUCUGUGGCAACCAGCUGCCUGCUUACAAGUGCUUCCAGAUCACCUGGUUUGUAUCCUGGACACCCUGCCCGGACUGUGUGGCGAAGCUGGCCGAAUUCCUGGCUGAGCACCCCAAUGUCACCCUGACCAUCUCCGCUGCCCGCCUCUACUACUACUGGGAAAGAGAUUACCGAAGGGCGCUCUGCAGGCUGCGUCAGGCAGGGGCCCGCGUGAAGAUUAUGGACGAUGAAGAAUUUGCAUACUGCUGGGAAAACUUUGUGUACAGUGAAGGUCAGCCAUUCAUGCCUUGGUACAAAUUCGAUGACAAUUAUGCAUUCCUGCACCGCACGCUAAAGGAGAUUCUCAGGUGGAUCCUGAGACCCAUUGUCAUGCAGAAAGGUGCUUCCUCUCUUGGUUCUGUGACGACAUACUGUCUCCUAACACAAACUACGAGGUCACCUGGUACACAUCUUGGAGCCCUUGCCCAGAGUGUGCAGGGGAGGUGGCCGAGUUCCUGGCCGGGCACAGCAACGUGAAUCUCACCAUCUUCACCGCCCGCCUCUACUAUUUCUGGGAUACAGAUUACCAGGAGGGGCUCCGCAGCCUGAGUCAGGAAGGGGCCUCCGUGGAGAUCAUGGGCUACAAAGAUUUUAAAUAUUGUUGGGAAAACUUUGUGUACAAUGAUGAUGAGCCAUUCAAGCCUUGGAAAGGACUAAAAUACAACUUUCUAUUCCUGGACAGCAAGCUGCAGGAGAUUCUCGAGUGAGGGAUCUCCCUGGGCCUCAUGGUCUGUCUCCUCUAGCCUCCUGCUCAUGCUGUGCCGGCCUCCCCUCCAUCCUGGACCAGCUGUGCUUUUGCCUGGUCAUCCUGAGCCCCUCCUGGCCUCAGGGCCAUUCCAUAGUGCUCCCCUGCCUCGCCACCUCCUCUCCGCUCUCCCAGGCUCUUCCUGCAGAGGCCUCUUUCUGCCUCCAUGGCUAUCCAUCCACCCACCAAGACCCUGUUCCCUGAGCCUGCAUGUCCCUAACCUGCCUUUUCCCAUCUCCCCAGCAUAACCUAAUUUUUUUUUUUUUUUGAGACGGAAUUUCGCUCUGUCACCCAGACUGGAGUGCAAUGGCUUGAUCUUGGCUCACUGCAAACUCUGCCUACCAGGUUCAAGCGAUUAUCCUGCCUCCGCCUCCCGAGUAGCUGGAAUUACAGACGCCUGCCACCAUGCACAGCUAACUUUUUUUUUUUUUUUGUAUUUUUAGUAGUGACUGGGUUUCACCAUGUUGGCCAGGCUGGUCUUGAACUCCUGACCUCAGGUGAUCCGCCUAUCUCAGCCUCCCAAAGUGCUGGGAUUACAGGCGUGAGCCACCGGCCCGGCCGCACAACCAAAUCUUAUUAAACUCACCCUAGGCUGGCCUCGGUGACUCAUGCCUAUAAUCCCCCAGCAAUUUGGGAGGCAGAGGUGAGAGAAUCGCUUGAGCCCAGGAAUUCGAGACCAGCCUGGGCCACAUGACAAAGCCCCAUCUCUACAAAAAAAUUACAAAAAAAAAAAAAAAAAAAAAACAGGUGUGGUGGCAUGCACCUGUAGUUUAAGCUACUUGGAAGGAUGAAGUGGGAGGAUUGCUUGAGCUGGGGAGGUGGAGGCUGCAGUGAACUGAGAUCACGUCACUGAACUCCAGUCUGAGCAACAGAUGGAGACCCUGCCUGAAAAUAAAUCAAUAAAUAAACUCAACCUAAA